rnacentral:ncRNA from 2 species
UCCUUAUCGAGAGCAGUGGAGGGACCGGCCCGAAGAAACUGCAGCAACCCCCCAUUUUUAAGGGAAGGUGCUAAUUCCGGCAGCAAAAGCUGGGAGAUAAGAG